rnacentral:rRNA from 1 species
CACGUAGAAGACUAGUGUUAUUCAUCUUUAUUAGGUUUAAAGGGUACCUAGACGGAAAAUCAAGCCAUUAUAGGAACUAAUUUUCUAGAGUUUAUAAGAGGAGGGGCGAAUUUCUGGAGGAAAGUUGAUAUUUUGUGAUACUGGAAGGACGGGUAACGGCGAAGGCAACCUUUUAUGUAAAAACUGACGUUGAGGACGAAGCCUUGGGUAACGAGAAGG